CCGCGCCCCCCCCUCAUGCAGCGCCGCGACGACCCCGCGGGCCGCCUGUCCCGGGGGCAAGGCCCCGGGGGCCGCGCCCCAGCGUCGCGCCGCCCGCCCCGCGGCACAGGGGCCCGCGGGGCCGCCAGCGGGGCGCAGCCGCCUCCCCCCGCGACCGGUGGCGGCGGCGGCGGCGGCGGCGGUGGCGGUGGCGGCGGUGGCGGCGCGCCCGCCCCGCUGCUGUCCGGAGCCGCCGGGAAGAUGGAGCCCGAGAACAAGUACCUGCCCGAGCUGAUGGCGGAGAAGGACAGCCUGGACCCGUCCUUCACGCACGCCAUGCAGCUCCUCACCGCAGAAAUUGAAAAAAUUCAGAAGGGUGAAACAACAAAGAAGGAUGAGGAAGAAAACUACCUGGAUUUAUUUUCCCACAAGAAUAUGAAACUGAAAGAACGAGUUCUGAUACCUGUCAAACAGUACCCCAAGUUCAACUUUGUUGGAAAGAUUUUGGGACCUCAAGGCAACACCAUUAAGAGACUUCAGGAAGAAACUGGUGCUAAGAUUUCUGUGCUGGGGAAGGGCUCAAUGAGAGACAAAGCCAAGGAGGAGGAGCUGCGCAAAGGGGGAGACCCGAAAUACGCUCAUCUAAACAUGGAUUUGCACGUCUUCAUCGAGGUUUUUGGCCCCCCCUGUGAGGCCUAUGCCCUGAUGGCUCAUGCCAUGGAGGAGGUCAAGAAAUUCCUCGUUCCAGAUAUGAUGGACGAUAUCUGCCAGGAGCAGUUCCUGGAGCUGUCCUACCUGAACGGUGUUCCGGAGCCGAACCGCGGCCGAGGAGUCCCCGGGCGGGGAAGGGGAGCAGCUCCACCACCCCCCCCACCCGUUCCAAGGGGCCGUGGGGUUGGUCCCCCUCCUCCUCCUCCCCGGGGGGCCCUGGUGCGAGGGGCCCCAGUGCGAGGGGCCAUCGCUCGGGGGGCCACCAUAGCCCGGGGGGUGCCCCCUCCUCCGGCAGUCCGGGGGGCUCCUGCCCCCCGAGCACGGGCAGCUGGCAUCCAGAGGAUACCCCUUCCUCCUCCUCCUGCGCCAGAGGCCUACGAGGAAUAUGGCUACGACGACACAUACGCAGACCAGAGCUACGAGGGCUAUGAGGGCUACUACAGCCAGGGCCAAGGGGACACAGAAUACUAUGAUUAUGGACACGGGGAGGCACAGGAAACCUAUGAAGCUUAUGGGCAAGAUGACUGGAAUGGGACCCGGCCCUCCCUGAAGGCCCCGCCGGCCAGGACAGUGAAGGGGGCCUACCGAGAGCACCCCUACGGACGCUACUAAAAACAAACAAAACAUGAGGGGAAAAAUCCCACUUUUGAGCAAAACAGUUGUUACUGAUUCUUGUAUCUCCCGGGAUUCCCGUUGCUUUGCCCACACCAGACAAGAGCGGAGAGUUCUCGGCGCCGGGAGCGACUCUCCCGCCCCGGGGGUGAGGAGGAGCAGGGGCAGCGCCCACGGGGGUGAGUCUCUGUGUGUGUGUGUGCUUUUACAGCGUGGGGGUGGCACCAUCUGAGCUGCUAAAACCACAUCCACACAAAUAAAAAAGGGAAAGCUGGCUGGCUCUCCCCGCCUGAUGCUCCCGCAGAGGUCACAGUGCGGAGGAGGCUCCAGAAUUGUACCUGCCUUGAGCCCUCCCCGGAGGGAAAAGAGGUUUUCAGUGGAUUUAGGGAGGGGGAGAAAUGUGAUGAGGUCCAUCUCUUGGAGCUGCUUCCUGGUGGUGUUGGAUUUCAUGGAAUCACGGGCUGGUUUGGGUUGGAAGGGGCCUUAAAGAUCAUCUGGUUCCCAGCGCCCUGGGAUUUGUCACCCGAUGCUGCAGGAGCAGAGCAGCUGAAGGAAUGGCUCGGUGGGAAUUCCUGGGGGAGUCCACAAGGCAUUAAAAUUACAGGCUGCAGAUUUUAAACCCAGCCAGACCUUGCCAGUUCUACACCUUCUGGCCCCCAUCAGUGGGAUCAAAUGGGAUCUGGCUGCUGGCUGGUCAGUUCUUAAGGAUUUCUGUCCACUGGCAUAGCCAGAGAUCUCCAUCAGUGAUCCUGGGACACAUCUCUUGGAAUCCCAGAAUGGUUUUGGUAGGAAGGGACCUUAAAGCCCAUCUCAUUCCACCCCCUGCCAUGGGAAGGGACAUCUUCCACUAGACCAGGUUGCUCCAAGCCCUGUCCAACCUGGCCUGGAACAUUCCAGGGGUGGAGAAUAGGCCAUGCUUCUCUAAUAAAUUGCUUUUAUAAAUGGAUGCAAGUGGUUGAAAACGAGUGGGAGGUGAUCACACAUCAGUGGAGUGACCUGCUUAGGCAGCAAGGACACGUUUCUCCCCCAGGGCAGCAUCCCAAGGCUUUUGGGAACAGCUAAAUGCUUCCUCUGAAAGUCUGAGCUCCAUAAAUAAAAGAACAAAGAAAUAAACUCUUGCAGUGCUGAACAAGCCCAAUGGCUUCAAAAGGCAACCUGGGCACAGGACAUAAAAGGACACAAGUCUAAUUUUACAUGGAAUUGUAAAGCUCCCAAAUGAGCUCCUCUUAUCUGAGGAGUAUUAGGGACAAGGAAGAGGUAAUGUGUGGAAAUGCUGCAACAGGGAGAUUACCCUGAAUUCUUCCACUUGAAAAUUGGAUCCUGCCAGGGGGAACGAUAACGUGUCUGGAUUUGUGGCCUGGUUAUCAAAUUCAUCUUCAUUUACAAUGUAAUUGGAACAUCAGUUUCUCUGGCCAUGUACCAAUCUUUCCCGUUUCUUUCUUAAUAGGCACAGCUUUUAUAUCAAGUGGAAAAGAUUUGAUAGAGAUCAUCUAUUAUGAUGCAGGGUUUUUUUACCUGUAGAAGUGGAUCUUGUGAUGCUGCCUCUGGAGGGAUCCAGCUCGUGCCUUGCCUUUGUUGCAUGUUUAUGGGGAAGACUUAAAUGUUGUGGCAGACUGUAAAUAUUAAUAUAUUGAGAUAGCUGUAUAUGCUACAAGUAUUUUGCAAACAUGCCCUGGAUCAGACGUUCCCUCCCUCUCACAGCACUGCUCCAGUCAGAUUUUAGCCUGGAGUCUGCCAGAGCUAAUUGGAGAUCCCAAAAUAACCCUCAGCAUAGGAUGUGCCUCUCAAAGAUGCUCUAAUUAGCCAGACAUUCCGGGGGUGAUGCAGGAAUUUGUGAGGGAUAGAGAUUCCUUUGAGUCUGAGUCACCUCAAUAACCUUCCCUGUCCUACUGGCAGGUGGCUGCUGGAGGUGGAAUUAGCUGGCUGUGACCUCACAAGUGCCAGGGAUCUUUCAUCUCCCAGUUUUCCCAAAGGACUAACCCUCGCCUUAUUAUUUGUAGGGUUUUGGUGAAGGCCAUAAAGCAGGUAAAGGCCCUGUCGUGCCUGGCUCUGUGCAGGGGGAUGUGCAGCAGCUGGGACCUCUCCUCUGGGGAAGCUUUUCCCAACAAAAACCGUUCUUGUUAAGAGAUUUUGGCUCCAGGAACACCCUCCUGCUGCAGAACACGCAGCAUUCCCACCUUCCCUGCCCCUUUCCCUACGUGGUUACAGCUUCUCCAGCCUCUUGGGUAUGACUACUCAGCCUGGCCGUGCCUGGAGCUGGCACAGACCCGGGUUUUACACCCUCAGGGAGGUUGAGUGCUUUGUGGGAUCCUGGACAGCCACGGGAGAGUGAAACCGAGCUGAAAUUCCAGAGAAACCCCCGGCAGCUUUCCCUGGAAGGAGACUCUCAUCCCCUGCCCGUUCCUCACCCCUGGUUUCAAGUUGCUGUUUGGGUUGUUAAAUAAAGCAAAUGGCUUUGAGCUUUGUUAUAUGGAAUCAUAGAUCCAUGGAAUGGUUUGGGUGGGAAGGGACCUUAAAGCCCAUCCAGUUCCAGCCUCUGCCAUGGGCAGGGACACCUUCCACUGGAUCAGAUUGCUCCAAGCCCUGUCCAGCUUGGCCUUGGACACUUCCAGGAUGGAGAUUCCACACCCUCUGUGGUAUUUUGUGUCUAACUCAGCCUCUCUGAAAGCACAGUGGUUUAAGCCUUUACCUCGAUAUGUCCCUCCAAAAUUCCAUCUUGGAUAAGCUGGGUUUACGAGCACAGCUGGAUUCCCUGUCCAGCACUUGGAGCAGAUGAUUCUUUUCAUACAGGACGAGCUUUUAAAUUUGUAUGAGAGCAUCUGUCGCGAGCAGAGCCAAGAAAAACAGUUCAAGUGUGCAUUUUCCCUUCCUUAACCCAUCCUGCUGCUCUCCUGGAGAACACUUGGGCUGAGGGUGGUUCCUGCAGCUUGGAUGGACCCUCUGAGCGGCCCCAGAGGAGCAGGGACCAGCUGGGAUGUGUCUGCUGGGAGCUGCAGAGGAGAACAGGCUUCCCUGGGAACGAGCACAUACGGAGCUUUUGGGGAGGAAAACGGGGCUUAGGGAAAUUCUUCCUUAAUUGAUGAACCUGGAACAUGUUGGAUGAGACACUGGACACGUGUCCCGUUCGUAAGCUGUGAGGGGGAGGAAUUCCUGCAGGUUAUCCAGGGACUCCCAUCCCAGUGGAGAUGUCAUUCCUCAUUUUCUCCCUGGGAAGCUCCGUUCUGUGAGCACAGAACACAAACCUUUGCUGUUGCUGCUCAGCUGAGCCUUCCACUGCUGCCAUAUGUUUUAAUGGGAAUGUUUGUUUCCACGCUCCUUUUGCUCCUUUUGCAAGGAGGGAUGAGUCUCCAGGGAGCUGCUUUCAGAGCUGAUCAAGGAGCACAGUUAAGACACUUCCCUGGGAAAUAGGAACCUGCCAGAUCUUGGGGAGUGUUGGAGAACACUGGAGCCUCCCUUGGAUCCCACGAGAGCAGCAGCUGUGUGUUGGAACACUGAAAUAUAAAGUGUUUUCUGCUGAAGCUGUUACUUUUACCACUGAAUUUGGAACUAGGUACGACCAAAAAGCUUCAAUACAUCAUGUUGUAGUAGCAAACCUGAUAUAUUUUAACCUGAAAAUUUUUUUAACCUGAUGUUUGUACAUCCUGUUACCUUUAUAGUUUUUCCUGGAAGACUCUGUUAAACCAGAGAUGUCUGGAUACUGCUGGGUUUUGAUGGCUUUGCACAUUUAGGUUGGGAAGGACCUCCAAGACCAUCGAGUCCAACCUGUGACCACCUUGUCCCCCAGCCCAGAGCACUGAGUGCCACGUCCAGUCAUUCCUUGGACACCUCCAGAGAUGGGAACUCCACCACCUCCCUGGGCAGCCCCUUCCAAAGCCAGUAAAGAACUAAACCUUGGGCCUGUGGAAGUCCAUUAAUUUCAGAGAUUUUUGCCUCCAGCUGGUUCUCAGUGUUGUAAAACGCUCCAUCUGUGCCGAAGCACCAACGCCCACAAGUGGAGGAGAUCACUGAGAAAAAAAAAACGCUGCGAGCGGGUGAUAAAGAUGCUGAAAAGUGAUCAAGGUGAAUCACAGCACGAAAAUAGCUUGGAUGGGAGCCUGGCGAGCUCCUGCACCAAUAACUUGGAUGGCAGCCUGGCGAGCUCCUCCGCCGAGGAGCACUGGGCUUUCUGCUCCAGCUAUUCCACGAUCCUACAACUCUUGUGUUGGAAGUGAUCCCUCAUUCCGUGUAAUAAAGUCCUGACGAUGAAUAUUU